GGGCCUCUUUAUAAAGGAAAAAACCUUCUCAAAUAAGAGUUUCAAUCGGUGUAGUAUUCCUUGAUUUCAUGGGAAACGGAAAAGGAAAUCAGAUUUGGAGCCAAAUAUAACAGGAGGGUUGCCAAGCUGGUGCGACCGUUUUGCCAUUGCAUAUUUGGCAAACUCGAUGGUGUCCGUUAUCAUUUCAGGAUUUCCGCCUUCUUGAAAUGCCUAAGGACGAACCUGAGAAUUAUAUUGAGAUGGCACGGCCCAGUAACAGUAUCCUUGGCC
rnacentral:lncRNA from 1 species